CCUACGGGAGGCUGCAGUGAGGAAUAUUGGUCAAUGGCCGUAAGGCUGAACCAGCCAAGUCGCGUGAAGGAAGAAGGAUCUAUGGUUUGUAAACUUCUUUUAUCGGGGAAUAAAGGUAUCCACGAGUGGCUGAUCGCAUGUACUCUAUGAAUAAGCAUCGGCUAACUCCGUGCCAGCAGCCGCGGUAAUACGGAGGAUGCGAGCGUUAUCCGGAUUUAUUGGGUUUAAAGGGUGCGUAGGUUGGGUUUUAAGUCAGCGGUGAAAGUUUGGGGCUCAACCAUAAAAGAGCCGUUGAAACUGGAUGUCUUGAGUGUGCUAGAGGUAGGCGGAAUGCGUGGUGUAGCGGUGAAAUGCAUAGAUAUCGCGCAGAACUCCGAUUGCGAAGGCAGCAUACU
rnacentral:rRNA from 1 species